UACUGUGACUAUUUAGAUUUGCUGCUGAAAUUGUCAGGGAUGCCUCAUGUGAUCACUUCAGGAUCAGAAUAGAGGUAUGUGGGGUCAAGCCUGGGCAAGUGCAAAGCAUUCCAGUUGAUUCAAGUCGUUUGUGUGUGUGCAUGUGUGUGUG